CUCACCUGCCUGUAUCUUUCCCUUCAGACCUUGAUUAGCUUGUUCAGAUGUUUGAUUAGGGUUGGAGCUAAACUCUACAGGACUGUGGCUCUCCAGGACCAACGUUCGCCACCCCUGUCCUAGCAACUAUAUGAAAAUGUGCUAAAAAAAAAAUCCAUUCAGAACACUUUAGCAACAAUAUAUCAAUGCUGGGUGAGUUUUGAGAAUAAGCAUUAUUUACAAUUACGGAAGAUGCAUAUAUUUAGUUUUCUUUUUGCUCUAAAUUUGUGUUCUUGACACUUUCAGAAGUGUUCAGAUCAUGCAUGUCGAGAUUUUCAGAACAGUUAGUGCCAUGAAGAAAACCAGAGAGCAAAUUUCAGAGAUGCUGCCUCUGUGGAUUUCAGUGCCCGUGGGAAUGGAUUGAUUCUGGAAAGCAAGUCGAAUGUUGCAACAGGCUAUGCAAGAUUAGAAAUAUUACUUACUUUGGAAUUCAUUAGCAGUUUUUUGUGUGAAAUGUGGAUAUUUUGGCUUCAAAGAAGAAUGCAUUCUUGUCUGAGCCUGAUAAGGAGUUUCAGAUAUUCAAGAAAGAAGUUGUAUUUUAACAAUAUAAAUUUAAAAUGGUAAAUAGCCCAGUCAUGUGCUCAAGGCUGGUUUCUCAGAAUUGCACAGAAUAUUAAAAAUUGAUGAAGAAUUUCAUAACAUAUAUAAAUAUAUAUAUUAUCAAUGCUUCUUAGUUGACAGGCAAUAUAUUUAACAUCUCAUGCUUUUAGAUAAACUUAGCUCCUAAAGGGCUACAGUCCUGCAAAGUCCUGCUCAAAAACACCUGCCAUGUUGCUUUAAGUAAUCCUGAAGGCCUUCAUUAGCUGGUUCAUGUGCAUGUGUUUAGUUCAAGUUGGAGCUAAACUCUGUGAAACUGAGUUUGACACUUUUCAGAUUUUUCUUCAAAUACCCCGUUAAUCUCACACGCAAUUGUUAAAUAAAGCUGUAAUAAAGACCAAAUACACAGUGUAGAGUUUAAAGGUGAAGUUAAACUCUUGAAUUAGAACCAAAAACGUACUCCUUGACUUUCUAUGGAAUGCAGUAGAAUGUGACUGAAUACAUACUUUCUGAUGUCAUUCAUCAUAAUUUUUUACAGUAAAAGCCUGUAAAAAUGCAACGGUAAAAACCUGUUAAUUGGUUAACAGUAGUUUACUUUCUCUAUACAGUGAAAAGCUGUAAUAAACCUAAUGAGACUCUUAAAUUUACAGUUUUUGGAAGUGAAAAUUACAGUGAGAAACUGUACACUGACAUAUCACCAUCUAUCUCACCUUCCCCAAACUCCAUUUCCCAGCAUUCCUCCUUCUGCUCACCUGCUCACCCUCAGCAAUCACCCGCACCUGAUCAUCAUCACCUCAUCGCCACAGCAGCAUAAAUGCACACACUUCACCCUAGCACAUUGUCUGGUCUCAUUAGUAUAUGGACUCACUUACAUUGUUCAGCGUAUGCUAUUGUCUGCAGCGUCUCCCUGAUUUAUCUGUGUCUCCAGUGUCUUCAUUCCCCGGACUCCUUCCACACUCCACCAUCUCCACCUAAAAACCCAGACAUACUAAAAAGAAGAUGAGCAGGAAUUAAAAAGAUGUGUGGGACUUUGCGGGACAGCGGCAGCCGGGAUCUGUUUUCCUACACCGCAAAAUUUUGCCUCCUCUUCCAGACCAGCCUCUUGGUAGACAAGACCAUCAAGGCUUUGUACAAGAUUGGGGCCAACUAUGUUGAGGCGACUCCCUUCCUCGUCCAGAGCCCAGAGGCGACUCCAGUCCCUGAGCCCGUUCCAGAAUCCGCUCCAGCCCUGCUGCUCACCUGCUCACGCUCAGCAAUCACCCGCACCUGAUCAUCAUCACCUCAUCGCCACAGCAGCAUAAAUGCACACACUUCACCCUAGCACAUUGUCUGGUCUCGUUAGUAUAUGGACUCACUUACCUGUCGAUACUUUCCUUGUUCAGCGUAUGCUAUUGUCUCCAGAGUCUCCCUGAUCCUCUGUGUCUCCAGUGUCUUCAUUCCCCGGACUCCUUCCACACUCCACCAUCUCCACCUAAGUGUGUGCUCGGCUGCUCACAUCUACUAUCUCCUCCAACCACCUGCAAAGACAAAGAACUGUCAGUAUUCUCUCUCAUUAUUACAUUCCUGCUUUGACUGUCAUACUCACCUACCUGUUUGCCAUACCUGCCACGAUCAAUAAACUCUCAUAUUCAUUUCUA